AGCUAAUAGAUACCUGGGUAGUCCACGCCCUAAACGAUGAUCACUCGAUGUGUGCGAUACACUGUACGCGUCUGAGCGAAAGCAUUAAGUGAUCCACCUGGGGAGUACGACCGCAAGGUUGAAACUCAAAGGAAUUGACGGGGGCCCGCACAAGCGGAGGAGCAUGUGGUUUAAUUCGAUGAUACGCGAGGAACCUUACCAGGGCUUGAAAGUUAGUGAAGUAUGUGGAAACAUAUACGUCAGCAAUGACACGAAACUAGGUGCUGCAUGGCUGUCGUCAGCUCGUGCCGUGAGGUGUUGGGUUUAAGUCCCGCAACGAGCGCAACCCCGUAUCAUUAGUUGCCAACAGGUUAAGCUGGGGUACUCUAAUGAGACUGCCCGCGCAAGCGGUGAGGAAGGUGGGGAUGACGUCAAGUCAUCACGGCCCUUACGUCCUGGGCUACACACGUGCUACAAUGGCCGGUACAGAGGGUCAGCCACAUGGCAACAUGGAGCUAAUCCUUAAAGCCGGUCUCA
rnacentral:rRNA from 1 species